AGCGAACGCUGGCGGCAGGCUUAACACAUGCAAGUCGAGCGGGCAUCCUUGUGGUGUCAGCGGCAGACGGGUGAGUAACGCGUGGGAACGUGCCCUUCGGUUCGGAAUAACUCAGGGAAACUUGAGCUAAUACCGGAUACGUGCGAGAGCAGAAAGGUUUAUCUGCCGAAGGAUCGGCCCGCGUCUGAUUAGCUAGUUGGUGAGGUUACGGCUCACCAAGGCGACGAUCAGUAGCUGGUCUGCGAGGAUGACCAGCCACGCUGGGACUGAGACACGGCCCAGACUCCUACGGGAGGCAGCAGUGGGGAAUAUUGGACGAUGGGGGCAACCCUGAUCCAGCCAUGCCGCGUGAGUGAUGACGGCCUUAGGGUUGUAAAGCUCUUUUCUCCGGGACGAUAAUGACGGUACCGGAGGAAUAAGCCCCGGCUAACUUCGUG
rnacentral:rRNA from 1 species